UGGGGAAUCUUGGACAAUGGGGGCAACCCUGAUCCAGCCAUGCCGCGUGAGUGAUGAAGGCCUUAGGGUCGUAAAGCUCUUUCGCCUGUGAAGAUAAUGACGGUAGCAGGUAAAGAAACCCCGGCUAACUCCGUGCCAGCAGCCGCGGUAAUACGGAGGGGGUUAGCGUUGUUCGGAAUUACUGGGCGUAAAGCGCACGUAGGCGGACCAGAAAGUUGGGGGUGAAAUCCCGGGGGCUCAACCCCGGAACUGCCUCCAAAACUAUUGGUCUAGAGUUCGAGAGAGGUGAGUGGAAUUCCAAGUGUAGAGGUGAAAUUCGUAGAUAUUUGGAGGAACACCAGUGGCGAAGGCGGCUCACUGGCUCGAUACUGACGCUGAGGUGCGAAAAGUGUGGGGAGCAAAACAGGAUUAGAUACCCUGGUAGUCCACACCGUAAAACGAUGAAUGCCAGUCGUCGGGUAGCAUGCUAUUCGGUGACACACCUAACGGAUUAAGCAUUCCGCCUGGGGAGUACGUCGCAAGAUUAAAACUCAAAUGAAUU
rnacentral:rRNA from 1 species